rnacentral:rRNA from 1 species
GACGAACCGUGCGAACGUUGUUCGGAAUCACUGGGCUUAAAGGGCGCGUAGGCGGGCCAUCAAGUCUGGGGUGAAAUCCUUCGGCUCAACCGGAGAACUGCCUUAGAUACUGGUGGUCUAGAGGGAGGUAGGGGUCUGCGGAACUUCCGGUGGAGCGGUGAAAUGCGUUGAUAUCGGAAGGAACGCCGGUGGCGAAAGCGGCGGACUGGACCUCUUCUGACGCUGAGGCGCGAAAGCCAGGGGAGCAAACGGGAUUAGAAACCCCCGUAGUCC